AAAAACAUCUUUUCUUGUUAGUUUCUGAAGUAUGGCCUGCCCGCUGACGUAUUUUGAGUUGAAGGGCCGCGGUAUUUUGACCGUGCAAAGGUAGCAUAGUCAUUAGUUCUUUAAUUGUGAUCUGGUAUGAAUGGCUUGACGAGACAUAGGCUGUCUUAGUGUGAAUUUAUUGUUGAAUUUGGAGUUUAAGUUAAAAUUCUUAGAUGUUUUUAUGGGACGAGAAGACCCUAUAGAGUUUUACAUUUGAUUGUGCAUUUCUUUUUGUUUGUUUUAGGUUUUUGCGUGUCUUUUGUUUUGUUGGGGUGAUGGGAGGAAUUUAUUUAACUCCUCUUUUUAUGUGAUAUAUUGAUUUAUAUUUGUUUUGAUCCAUUUAUUUUGAUUGUAAGACUAAAUUACCUUAGGGAUAACAGCGUUAUCCUCCCUGAGAGUUCUUAUUGGCGGGGGGGUUUGCGACCUCGAUGUUGGAUUAAGGUUUAUUUUUGGUGUAGGAGCUGAAUUGAUUAGGUCUGUUCGACCUUUAAAAUCUUACGUGAUCUG
rnacentral:rRNA from 1 species